rnacentral:rRNA from 1 species
GACGGGUGAGUAACACGUGGGAACGUACCCUUUGGUUCGGAACAACUCAGGGAAACUUGAGCUAAUACCGGAUAAGUGCGAGAGCAGAAAGAUUUAUCGCCGAAGGAUCGGCCCGCGUCUGAUUAGCUAGUUGGUGAGGUAACGGCUCACCAAGGCGACGAUCAGUAGCUGGUCUGAGAGGAUGAUCAGCCACAUUGGGACUGAGACACGGCCCAAACUCCUACGGGAGGCAGCAGUGGGGAAUAUUGGACAAUGGGCGCAAGCCUGAUCCAGCCAUGCCGCGUGAGUGAUGACGGCCUUAGGGUUGUAAAGCUCUUUUACCUGGGAAGAUAAUGACGGUACCAGGAGAAUAAGCCCCGGCUAACUUCGUGCCAGCAGCCGCGGUAAU